UACGUAGGGGGCAAGCGUUGUCCGGAUUUAUUGGGCGUAAAGAGCGUGUAGGCGGCUAGGUAGGUCCGUUGUGAAAACUCGAGGCUCAACCUCGAGACGUCGAUGGAAACCAUCUAGCUAGAGUCCGGAAGAGGAGAGUGGAAUUCCUGGUGUAGCGGUGAAAUGCGCAGAUAUCAGGAAGAACACCCGUGGCGAAGGCGGCUCUCUGGUACGUGACUGACGCUGAGACGCGAAAAGCGUGGGGGAGCAAACAGG
rnacentral:rRNA from 1 species